CUUUCCCUCUUUCUUCAUGCCUAACACAUGCAAGUCGAGCGGUUGAAGGUAGCUUGCUCCUGGAUUCAGCGGCGGACGGGUGAGUAAUGCCUAGGAAUCUGCCUGGUAGUGGGGGAUAACGUCCGGAAACGGGCGCUAAUACCGCAUACGUCCUGAGGGUGAAAGUGGGGGAUCUUCGGACCUCACUCUAUCAGAUGAGCCUAGGUCGGAUUGGCUAGUUGGUGGGGUAAAGGCCUACCAAGGCGACGAUCCGUAACUGGUCUGAGAGGAUGAUCAGUCACACUGGAACUGAGACACGGUCCAGACUCCUACGGGAGGAAGAAGUGGGGAAUAUUGGACAAUGGGCGAAAGCCUGAUCCAGACAUGCCGCGUGUGUGAAGAAGGUCUUCGGAUUGUAAAGCACUUUAAGUUGGGAGGAAGGGCAGUAAGUUAAUACCUUGCUGUUUUGACGUUACCAACAGAAUAAGCACCGGCUAACUUCGUG
rnacentral:rRNA from 1 species